rnacentral:rRNA from 1 species
UACGUAGGGUGCAAGCGUUGUCCGGAAUUAUUGGGCGUAAAGAGCGUGUAGGCGGCUUGGCAAGUCCGCUGUGAAAACUCGAGGCUCAACCUCGAGACGUCGGUGGAAACUGCCUCGCUAGAGUCCGGAAGAGGAGAGUGGAAUUCCUGGUGUAGCGGUGAAAUGCGCAGAUAUCAGGAGGAACACCGGUGGCGAAGGCGGUUCUCUGGGCAUGUCCUGACGCUGAGGAGCGAAAGUGUGGGGAGCGAACAGG